CAAUAGCGUAUAUUAAAGUUGUUGCAGUUAAAAAGCUCGUAGUUGGAUUUCUGGUGGGAGCGAUCGGUCUGGCGCUUAGCGCGAGUACUUGCAUCGUCUCCGGACAUCCUUGGGGAGAGUCUGUCUGGCAUUAAGUUGUCGGGCAGAGGAUCCUCAUCGUUUACUGUGAAAAAAUUAGAGUGUUCAAAGCAGGCUUAUGCCGUUGAAUAUAUUAGCAUGGAAUAAUAAGAUAGGACUUUGGUACUAUUUUGUUGGUUUGCGCACCAAAGUAAUGAUUAAUAGGGACAGUUGGGGGUAUUCGUAUUCCGUUGUCAGAGGUGAAAUUCUUGGAUUUACGGAAGACGAACUACUGCGAAAGCAUUUACCAAGGAUGUUUUCAUUAA
rnacentral:rRNA from 1 species